GGUAUAGCUCAGUGGUAGAGCGCGUGCUUAGCAUGCACGAGGUCCUGGGUUCAAUCCCCAGUAGUGCCA
rnacentral:tRNA from 1 species